rnacentral:tRNA from 1 species
GGGCAUGUAGCCAAGUGGUAAGGCGCGCGUCUGCAAAACGCGUAAUCACGGGUUCGACUCCCGUCAUGCCCUCCA